AUUUGUUUUAAUUUUAGAUGAGCCGUUUAUUAUCAACUUACCAGAAAAUAUUGCCAUAGCUGAUCAGGAGGCAGUGCAACAAGCAAUAUUCCAAGUUACAAAUAUCCCUGUGCCUAAUAAUGACCUCAACGAAAAUUAUGAGAAUGAUCGUCGCACAUUGUCUUGGCUUGGAAAUAGUAGACGAAGGAUAAUGGGAUAUCUUACAAGACUUUUACUUAUCG